rnacentral:snRNA from 1 species
GUCCCUUCGGGGGACAUACAAUAUCAAUAAAAUUUGGAACGAUACAGAGAAGAUUAGCAUGGCCCCUGCGUAAGGAUGGCACGCACACAUCGAGAAAACGUCUGAUUUCCU